UUUUCGGCAAUGGGCGAAACGUGACCGAGCAAUGCCGCGUGAAUGAAGAAGGUCUUCGGAUUGUAAAGUUCUGUUAUUGGGAAAGAAAGGUAUGUUCAGGAAAUGGGACAUAUUUGACGGUACCCGAUUAGAAAGCCCCGGCUAACUACGUGCCAGCAGCCGCGGUAAUACGUAGGGGGCGAGCGUUAUCCGGAAUUAUUGGGCGUAAA
rnacentral:rRNA from 1 species